GAUGAACGCUGGCGGCGUGCCUAAUACAUGCAAGUCGAGCGAACGGACGAGAAGCUUGCUUCUCUGAUGUUAGCGGCGGACGGGUGAGUAACACGUGGAUAACCUACCUAUAAGACUGGGAUAACUUCGGGAAACCGGAGCUAAUACCGGAUAAUAUUUUGAACCGCAUGGUUCAAAAGUGAAAGACGGUCUUGCUGUCACUUAUAGAUGGAUCCGCGCUGCAUUAGCUAGUUGGUAAGGUAACGGCCUACCAAGGCAACGAUGCAUAGCCGACGUGAGAGAGUGAUCGGCCACACUGGAACUGAGACACGGUCCAGACUCCUACGGGAGGCAGCAGUAGGGAAUCUUCCGCAAUGGGCGAAAGCCUGACGGAGCAACGCCGCGUGAGUGAUGAAGGUCUUCGGGUCGUAAAACUCUGUUAUUAGGGAAGAACAUAUGUGUAAGUAACUGUGCACAUCUUGACGGUACCUAAUCAGAAAGCCACGGCUAACUACGUG
rnacentral:rRNA from 1 species